UACGGGGGGGGCAAGCGUUGUUCGGAAUUACUGGGCGUAAAGGGCUCGUAGGCGGCCAACUAAGUCAGACGUGAAAUCCCUCGGCUUAACCGGGGAACUGCAUCUGAUACUGGAUGGCUUGAGAUUGGGAGAGGGAUGCGGAAUUCCAGGUGUAGCGGUGAAAUGCGUAGAGAUCGGGAGGAACAUCUGUGGCGAAGGCGACUGCCUGGACCAGCACUGACACUGAGGCACGAAAGCGUGGGGAGCAAACAGG
rnacentral:rRNA from 1 species